CCGCGGCGCCUCCACCUUGCUCAGUCCUCCUCCUCCCUCGGUCCUGCGGUCUGUGCGGUCCUCCAGCAACAGCCGGCUCAGCUCGUGCUCGAGGAAGCUGGACCGGCGGCCCGACUGCUGUCCAGCAUCCUUCCCGAGGGCGCCGCGAGAAGGGAGGAAGCACUCCCAACACCAGCAAGUCCCCGAGAACAGAGCCUGGUGGAGGACGUGGACGGAGGACGAGGGAUGCGGGGCAGGCCGGGAAAGAUGCGGGGGCUCGGGCUAGAAAGCAGUUCUUCUGGCUUCGGUCCUGGCUCGGUCUCCGACUACCAUGUGACCUUGGACCGGUUUCUUCCCUUCUUGUGGCUGCGCUCGCCUUUUGUUAAAUGCGGCGGCAAAGAAGAAUAAGUGCUGAGGGUUUCACUUGGGAGACUCAGCGCCACAUGUUCAACCUGGGUCUCCUCCUACGGAGCACACUAUUCCGAAUAAUAACCUUCAGGCCGGGAGGGCGGAGGAUGACGAUUACCUGGGGUUGAGGCAGGUCUGGAGGAGAUCGAUACAUCUUUUUACACCUUUACCCCGGCCGCGUUCGCAGGGCCCAGCCUACAGGAUGUAGUGCCCCUUCUCCACCCGCAUCCCCGCGACCCGGCUUAAGAGCAGCGCAAAUCCUAACCAAGCCUAGCAUCACGCCGAUUUAGGGGAGCCCGCUCAUCACCCCCGAGCUGCAGAGCUCCUGGCAGGUAGAGCUUUGAGGACCCGGUGAAACGUGAAGGUAGGGUACUCUUGUUUUUCUGUACCCAUUUCAUAGACAGACUCAAGCUUGCUUCGGUGGUGGUUUUUAGAAUAGUCAAUGGUACAGCAUGCCACUGCCGUAACCUAGAUCGCUAAGUUGGGACACCAGGGUAUGCUUUGAGGGUUAUUCAUUGCUUCAAAAGCAGUUGACUAAAGAGUUAAUAUUUCCACCCAGGAAAAACAGACUUCCUUCCUACCUUUGGACUGAGGAUUUAUGGAAAUGAAGUUCUAUUUAUGGAAGGCAGGACAAUUGACGUGUCUAUGUCUAUCUGAUUCCAUUUGUGGCUGACCUCACACCUUCCCAGCCCAUCUUUUUAUUCCAGCUUUGCUGUGGCAGCCUGCUACAUACAGAUGUAACCUGAGAAGACCUUGCUUCAGCUGUACUUGAUAUCUCAGGGCUUCUCUGUCACUGCCGUCUGGACCCCUGCAAGAAGCCAUAGCCCAUUCUGACAUAAACCUGGAAGUACAAAGGAAUUAACACCUCCUUGGACAACCUCUGACCAAAGUGAACAGAAGCUAGUGGAGAAAUGUUCCACUCUUAAGUGGGCAGUUACAAGGUACAUUUUGUACAGCACCUAAGAUGACAGAACCCUGGCUGCCCGUGGUAGUGUCCAGCUUAAUCAGCUCAGUAGUCCACCCUUGGAUUGCCUUUUUCUUUCCUGCCUUGACUGUUUGACUCUUACCAGUCCUCCAGUCCUGUUCCUUGGGAUUCAUUCCCCAAAUAAACUACCUGAUAUAA